CUACGGGACGCAGCAGUAACGAAUAUUCCGCAAUGCGCGAAAGCGUGACGGAGCAAUGCCGCGUGCAGGAUGAAGCCCCUCGGGGUGUAAACUGCUGUCAGAGUUUAGGAAACAAUGACCAGACUCAAAGGAAGGACCGGCUAACUUCGUGCCAGCAGCCGCGGUAAUACGAAGGGUCCAAGCGUUGCGCGGAAUCACUGGGCUUAAAGGGUGUGUAGGCGGACUUGCAAGUAUCUUGUGAAAGCCCAUGGCUUAACCAUGGAAUAGCUUGGUAGACUGCAAGUCUUGAGCUUGGUAGAGGCAGUCGGAACUCUAGGUGGAGCGGUGAAAUGCGUAGAUAUCUAGAGGAACGCCAAAGGUGAAGACAGACUGCUGGGCCAAUGCUGACGCUCAGACACGAAAGCGUGGGUAGCGAACGGGAUUAGAUACCCGCGUAGUC
rnacentral:rRNA from 1 species